GCCUGACUAAAGCAGUUAGCUGCAAUUCUUAGAGAACUCCUUAUUGCAGUGCUUGGGAGAGGUACUCAGACGAGUGAAAGACCACCAAGUGGUCUUCAGGAUUAAGCUGAAAAUAAUUCCUGGUUGCUGCAAACUGUGUGACCAUGGGAUGGAUUUUUCUUGGCUGUGAAGGAACAGGAGACAUAAUGUUCACUACAAGGACCCUGAAUUUAACAGCAACCCAGCUGCAAACAGCAGCCACUGAUGAUGCAGGGAUGCAGAGCAGCAGGAGAAAAGAAGCUGGGUCUCUGAGUGACUGUGUGGAGCAGAGCUGCCUUGCCAUCCUGAACAACAUACUCCUUGACUUUAGCAUUGCGGUGGACUCCUGAAGGGUAUUGGACUGGAAAAAGUCAUUCGAGAUGAGACCAACGUGCUUAGAACCAAAGGUUUGUUUGGGCUGAACACAGGUCUUGCCAGGCACUCAGGAUAAUAGAAUUUGGAGAAGAGAGAAGAAAUGUAAGCCCAGGCACCAAGACGAUCAGUGAAUGAGAAGGAAUGAUUAAGAGGCUGGAAGACAACACACUGUGAUGGACAGACAAUAGUAUGACCAAACGGUAUAUGAGUCAAUAAAAAACUUCCAGCUACCUCCACUCAAUAAUAAUAAUGGUUAAUGUGUUCCAUUCGCCUGGCUAAAGUGACUCACAAUGGAUGCUUUAUAGUCCGAUAUACCUGUUUUCAUGGUCUAAAAUAAAAUAUUGAUUGCUCAUCUGGAAAAUUAUUUUAUUCUGUGCCAUAUGAUAUGAAUCUUGCUUUUUUUUUUCUUUAUGUGCCAACACUGGGUGAAUUUAUAAGGGCAGAUUUAUUUGACGGAAGUUAUCAAUCAGUAAAAAGAAAACACGUUCAAUCUAGUUUAAGUUUCUGAUAUUUGUGUAAUAAUGCAUUUGCAAGUUCUUAUUAUUCAUUAUUUUUUCUAGAUAGGCAUUUUCUAGGCUGGGCAUGGUGGCUCACUCCUGUAAUCCUAGCAUUUGGGAGGCUGAGGUGGGUGGAUCACCUGAGGUCAGGAGUUUGAGACCAGCCUGGCCAACAUGGUGAAAUCACGUCUCUACUAAAAAUAGAAAAAUUAGUUGGGCAUAGUGGUGGGCACCUGUAAUCUCAGCUACUUAGGAGGUUGAGGUAGAAGAAUCGCUUGAGCCCAGGGGGUGGAGGUUGCAGUGAGCUGAGAUCAUGCCACUUCACUCCAGCCUGGGUGAAAGAGCAAAACUCUGUCCCAAAAAGAUGUGUGUUCUACUCCUUCUUUAUUCUUAUUGCAAUGACAUGCAUGAUGGGAGCAAAGUAUGUCAAAUAUCUUGGGUUGGCCAAGGCCUUUUAUUUUUCCUAGUGGUAUAUUGUUUACUUGUUGGUGUAGUUUGAAGUUAACUAUAUUCAAAUUUGACAAUAAAAAUAUUUUCUUUUUAAGUGAUCAGUUUUCAUUUUGAUGAUGUUAUGUAAAGUGCUAAACAUUUUAUCAUGUCUUGAAACUGAAAUUUGUCUCAACUUUUUUUUUUUUCUAUUUUUUUUUUUAUUAUACUUUAAGUUUU
rnacentral:lncRNA from 10 species